CAACCCUUAAGCCUAGCUUAGUGUUGGGAGUCUACAUAGUGGUGCUGCCUUGUGUAGCUAUCACGUAGUUCCCUAAAUCCAACGGCGGAUCUACGGUGUCCUCUGAGCGUAGUAAAUUCUUAUCUCGCUUCUGUUAGGUGCUGUGGCUCUUGCCGCUAAACCCCCAAUUUUUAAU
rnacentral:misc_RNA from 1 species